UACGGGGGGAGCAAGCGUUGUUCGGAUUUACUGGGCGUAAAGGGUGCGUAGGCGGCGCGGUAAGUCGGGUGUGAAAUCUCGGGGCUUAACUCCGAAACUGCAUUCGAUACUGCCGUGCUUGAGGACUGGAGAGGAGACUGGAAUUUACGGUGUAGCGGUGAAAUGCGUAGAUAUCGUAAGGAAGACCAGUGGCGAAGGCGGGUCUCUGGACAGUUCCUGACGCUGAGGAGCGAAAGCGUGGGUAGCAAACAGG
rnacentral:rRNA from 1 species